rnacentral:rRNA from 1 species
UACGGAGGGGACUAGCGUUGUUCGGAAUUACUGGGCGUAAAGCGCGCGCAGGCGGUCCUUUAAGUCGGGGGUGAAAGCCCAGAGCUCAACUCUGGAACUGCCUUCGAAACUAGAGGACUUGGGUACGGGAGAGGUGAGUGGAAUUCCGAGUGUAGAGGUGAAAUUCGUAGAUAUUCGGAAGAACACCAGUGGCGAAGGCGGCUCACUGGCCCGUUACCGACGCUCAGG